GACGGAGGGUGCUAGCGUUGUUCGGAAUGACUGGGCGUAAAGGGCGCGUAGGCGGCUCGUGAAGUCGGGUGUGAAAGCCCGGGGCUCAACCCCGGAACGGCAUCCGAUACUGGCGGGCUUGAGACCGGGAGAGGAGGGUGGAAUACCCAGUGUAGAGGUGAAAUUCGUAGAUAUUAGGAAGAACACCAGUGGCGAAGGCGGCUCACUGGCCCGGUACUGACGCUGAGGCGCGAAAGCGUGGGGAGCAAACAGG
rnacentral:rRNA from 1 species